rnacentral:rRNA from 1 species
UACGGAGGGUGCGAGCGUUAAUCGGAAUUACUGGGCGUAAAGCGCACGCAGGCGGCUUGUUAAGCUAGAGGUGAAAGCCCCGCGCUCAACGUGGGAACUGCCUUUAGAACUGGCAGGCUAGAGCUUGGAGAGGGGAGUGGAAUUCCAGGUGUAGCGGUGAAAUGCGUAGAGAUCUGGAGGAACAUCAGUGGCGAAGGCGACUCACUGGGCCAUUAUUGACGCUGAGGUGCGAAAGCGUGGGUAGCAAAACAGGAUUAGAUACCCGUGUAGUCC